CGCGCCCGCCGCCAUUUUCUCUCUUUCUUGGCAGACAGCGGCAGCGGCCGGAGCGGCGCCGGGGAGGCCAUGGCGGACUAUUCCACGGUGCCCCCUCCUGCCGCGGGCGCGCCCGGGGGAGGUGGCGGCGGGGCUGGAGGAGUGAACGAUGCCUUUAAAGACGCGCUGCAGAGGGCUAGGCAGAUUGCAGCGAAAAUUGGAGGAGAUGCUGGAACAGCAAUGAAUUCAAACGACUACGGUUAUGGAGGGCAGAAAAGACCUCUUGAGGAUGGAGAUCAACCAGAUGCUAAGAAAGUUGCUCCCCAGAAUGACUCUUUUGGAAAUCAGCUACCACCGAUGCAUCAGCAGCAAAGGUCUGUGAUGACAGAGGAGUACAAAGUUCCAGAUGGGAUGGUUGGAUUCAUAAUUGGCAGAGGUGGAGAGCAGAUCUCACGCAUACAGCAGGAGUCUGGCUGCAAAAUACAGAUUGCACCUGAUAGUGGAGGCCUGCCUGAAAGAUCAUGUAUGCUAACUGGGACACCAGAGUCUGUUCAGUCAGCAAAAAGAUUGCUUGAUCAGAUAGUUGAAAAGGGAAGACCUGCACCUGGAUUUCACCAUGGUGAUGGACCUGGAAAUGCAGUCCAAGAAAUUAUGAUUCCAGCAAGUAAAGCAGGAUUAGUUAUUGGGAAAGGUGGAGAGACAAUUAAACAAUUGCAGGAGCGGGCAGGUGUCAAAAUGGUCAUGAUUCAAGAUGGCCCACAGAACACUGGUGCAGACAAGCCCCUUAGGAUAACUGGAGACCCUUAUAAAGUUCAGCAAGCCAAGGAAAUGGUGCUGGAGUUAAUUCGCGAUCAAGGUGGCUUUAGAGAGGUGCGCAACGAAUAUGGGUCAAGAAUAGGAGGAAAUGAAGGGAUAGACGUUCCAAUACCACGAUUUGCUGUAGGUAUUGUAAUUGGAAGAAAUGGAGAGAUGAUUAAGAAGAUCCAGAAUGAUGCUGGUGUUAGGAUCCAGUUCAAACCAGAUGAUGGAACAACUCCAGAUAGAAUAGCCCAGAUCACAGGGCCUCCUGACAGAUGUCAGCAUGCUGCAGAAAUUAUUACAGAUCUCCUUCGCAGUGUUCAGGCUGGUAACCCUGGUGGACCAGGACCUGGUGGUCGAGGAAGGGGUAGAGGCCAAGGCAACUGGAACAUGGGGCCUCCUGGUGGAUUACAGGAGUUCAAUUUUAUUGUCCCUACUGGCAAAACUGGAUUAAUCAUUGGAAAAGGUGGUGAAACUAUUAAAAGUAUAAGCCAACAGUCUGGUGCUAGAAUAGAACUUCAGAGAAAUCCUCCACCUAAUGCAGAUCCAAACAUGAAGAUGUUUACUAUCCGUGGAACACCCCAGCAAAUAGAUUAUGCACGACAACUUAUAGAAGAAAAGAUUGGAGGUCCAGUGAAUCCAUUGGGUCCACCCGUUCCCCAUGGUCCCCAUGGUGUUGUUCCUGGCCCGCAUGGACCUCCUGGGCCACCAGGUCCUGGUGCUCCCAUGGGACCAUAUAACCCAGCUCCUUACAACCCAGGCCCUCCUGGUCCUGCACCUCAUGGUCCUCCAGCUCCAUAUGCUCCACAGGGAUGGGGAAAUGCUUAUCCACACUGGCAGCCACCAAACCCACCAGACCCAGGUAAGCCAGGAACAGAUCCCAAUUCAGCAGCGUGGGCAGCUUAUUAUGCUCACUAUUAUCAGCAGCAAGCACAGCCACCACCUGCAGCCCCUCCUGGUGGACCAGCUACAACCCAAACCAAUGGACAAGGAGAUCAGCCAAAUCCAGCACCAGCAGGGCAGGUUGACUAUACCAAGGCCUGGGAGGAGUACUACAAAAAAAUGGGUCAAGCUGUUCCUGCCCCCGCUGGGGCUCCUCCGGGCGGGCAGCCAGAUUACAGCGCAGCGUGGGCUGAGUACUACAGGCAGCAGGCAGCGUACUACGCCCAGACAAGUCCCCAGGGAAUGCCACAGCAUCCUCCAGCGCCACAGGUUUGAUCCAGCCAGUAUAGAACUAGCUCUAUAGGGGUGAGGAGGACUGUGCUGUGUAUCAUCCUUGAUUGUUCCUUCAAGGAGCAUUGCACUGUAAGUACAUCAGAAUGACAAAUUGAUGAACUGCAACAGUAUCUUUUUGUCAAUGUUCCACAUAAUGCAAAUGCUGUGCUUGUGUGAUAUUAUGUUGGAAUACAGUGCUGGUAUCUUAGGAAAUCAUAAUUGCUUAAUUCAGAAACAUAGGUUUGCUUAUAUAUAUAUACAUACACAUAAUCUGAGUUUUGUGGGUAAGUAUUUCUGAAACUUCUAGCAAUAGCUAAAGAAAAUCAUGUUUCUGUUUAUCUAAGAGUUUCUUUCAUUAGUACUCAUGAGACAGCUGUCAUUCAGUGUUUUAAAGUAUGCAUAUCAUAACAUUGAAGUCUUUGGAACCACUUGUUAGACAGAGUUGUCUUUGUCUCCAGAUAGUUUGCGGAUAUGUAGUGAUGUAGCUAUGUUUUAAAUAAUUCUAUAACUGUUAAUUGCUUUAAUUUUUUGGAACACCAUGUUGUUGCUUUGAGAAUAAAUUUUUUUAGGGUGGCUGCACAGAGAAGUAAAAGUUAAGGCUUGAAAACUGAAGUAGUUUUUUUCAGGUAAUCAGCAAUGUAUGCAUUGUGCUGUAGAAAUAGAAGGAAUUAUUUUUAUCCUUUUAAAGCUAGGAAUUUUCUGGUAGCUUGAAGAAGGCUAGGACAGUAUUUGCUAUCUUUAGUGUAGGGUAUUAAGUUUAAUAGUUCAGGUAUUUUGCAUGGUAUUUUGUGGAUAACCUUACAGAAUGGUGCAUUUAUUAUGUACUAAAGUGAGCAAAAUUAAAUUCACUGGAUUCUUUAUCAUUCGCAAAAUGGAGGCUGUUGAUUUUUAUUCAUUUAAGGUAUAAAAUCUUUAUUAAUUGCAAACAGUGCAAUUAUUUAUACUUCACAGUGCCUUCCCAGACCUUCCACCUUAGGUUCUGCUGCAAAAAAGCAACAGGUAAGCACAACCUAAGGAAGUAUAUAAAUUAAUAUAUUUCAGUACAUUAAUGUUGUCCCUGUGAGAUCUUUGUGGUUGUGUAUUGAAAAGCAAUCUGCUGCUUCCCCAAAUGCAUUGUUACUCACGGUUCCAUUUGAGUGGAAAAUCUUAAGUUUUUAAACAACUGUUUAUAUUUCUAGGUCAAUAUGUAUUUUUUUCUUUUUUCUUUUUUUUUUUUUUUAGAAAAGAUUGUUAGAUUGCAGUAAUUGAACUUGAUCAGAAUAAGUAAUUUUUGUUAUUUUACCAAAUAGAUAAUUGUUGCAAUUAAAGAAUCAAAACCUUUAAAAUGUGCAGGAAUUGCUUUGGUUAGAAAUGUCAACAGCCUUCACAAAUGUUUUUUUUAUAUGAUAGGGCACUAUUCCCACUUAAUCCGUAAGACCUAAAUGUAAAGAAUGACUUCUUGUUGUUAUCACUGAACUUGAUAACUUGUCUUACAGUUAUAGUGUGUUAGUGGAGUUUGCUUAUUCAUACUUGACAUGGUAGGAAAAGAGAUUUUGGAGUUUGAGAUGAGUAUGUUUUAACUGAAAAAGCAUGAGCACCAGUUAACAGUACAGCAAAUAAUAUUUUAUCGCUUUAGCAGUCAGUGUAUGCUGUUUCUUGAUAUUUUUAACUGAAUUGCUGAAUAUUUUGAUAGUAUAAAAUGUUAAAUGUCAUACAGAUGGUCUGGUACAGGUUUUUAUUCUGAGCUUUUGUUGUUGGUUUUUUUAGCUUAACAUAAAGCAGCAUCUGUUUGGUUUUUGUUCAUUAUUCUGCUUCUAAAAUGUGCUGCUCCUCUUUCAAAAGUCCUGCUUAUCUGUACAUCAAAGAAAAAUAUUCAAAAAUACUGCCUUCAUUUUCACACACAGUGCUGAAGAUGCUGCAAGCACCAAAUCAUAGCUCAUAGAAUCAGGUCCUGAGAUAGUUACUACCAGUAAAGAGGAAUCCUUUGAGUGUAUGCCAUUGGUGAGCCGAUGAGCAUGGACCGUAGAAGGGCUCCAUGUAGAAGAAACUACCCGUGUGUAAACAGAAGAUUGGCUUUAAAAGGCAACUGUGAUGGGAACAGUGUCUUAGGGAGAUGCAGCUUGGACUUGAGGUAAAUUGAAUGCUUUACAAAAAUGUGGUUUUGAGCUUGCAUUGACAUUGUAUGUAAUAUGGGUACACAUUAACUGUAUAAUGGUUUUUGUAUGGUUUUUCUCAAUAAAUGUAAACUGAUGAAUAAUAA